AAUAGAUACCCGGGUAGUCCACGCCGUAAACGAUGAGUGCUAAGUGUUAGGGGGUUUCCGCCCUUUAGUGCUGCAGCUAACGCAUUAAGCACUCCGCCUGGGGAGUACGGUCGCAAGACUGAAACUCAAAGGAAUUGACGGGGGCCCGCACAAGCGGUGGAGCAUAUGGUUUAAUUCGAAGCAACGCGAAGAACCUUACCAGGUCUUGACAUCCUCUGACAACUCUAGAGAUAGAGCGUUCCCCUUCGGGGGACAGAGUGACAGGUGGUGCAUGGUUGUCGUCAGCUCGUGUCGUGAGAUGUUGGGUUAAGUCCCGCAACGAGCGCAACCCUUGAUCUUAGUUGCCAGCAUUCAGUUGGGCACUCUAAGGUGACUGCCGGUGACAAACCGGAGGAAGGUGGGGAUGACGUCAAAUCAUCAUGCCCCUUAUGACCUGGGCUACACACGUGCUACAAUGGAUGGUACAAAGGGCUGCAAGACCGCGAGGUCAAGCCAAUCCCAUAAAACCAUUCUCAGUUCGGA
rnacentral:rRNA from 1 species